CAGUAAGUAUUUUAAUAUAAAAUUUUAGUUUUGGAGACUAAUGAAGAAAUAGAUAUUUCUUUACUGA
rnacentral:tRNA from 1 species